rnacentral:rRNA from 1 species
CGUGUAGGCGGUCGGUCAAGUCCGAUGUGAAAGCCCGGGGCUCAGCCCCGGAAGUGCAUCGGAAACUAGCCGGCUGGAGCGCGAUAGAGGAGGGUGGAAUUCCUGGUGUAGCGGUGAAAUGCGUAGAUAUCAGGAGGAACACCGGCGGCGAAGGCGGCCCUACUGGAUCGUUGCUGACGCUGAGACGCGAAAGCGUGGGGAGCAAACAGGAUUAGAUACCCUGGUAGUCCACGCUGUAAACGAUGGGUACUAGGUGUUCGGGGUAUUGACCCCCUGAGUGCCGCAGCUAACGCAUUAAGUACCCCGCCUGGGGACUACGGCCGCAAGGUUAAA